rnacentral:rRNA from 1 species
CCCGUGGGGCAUAGAUUUAAUUUCAGGUGAAUUUUGAUUUUAAGACUACGUAUGCGAAGCAUUGCAAGAAUUUUCAUUAUCAAGACGAAGAAAGGGACAAAGACAAUCAAAUCGUCGAGUCCUUCUUAACUAGCCGACUAGGAUUGGAUGAAAUCACCAUUCAGUCCUAUGGAAUCAAGUCUUGGUUCUGGGGGAGUAUGGUGCAAGACUGAACUAAAGAAUUGACGGAAGGGCCCCACCAGGACCGACCUCCGCUUAAUUGACUCAACACGGGGAAACGUGGCAGGUCCAGUCAUAGUAAGGAUGCAGUUGAUAGCUCUUUUUGAUUCGUGGUGUGUCAUGCCCGUUCUUAGUUGGUGGAGUGAUUUGUCUGGUUAAUUCCGAUAACGAACGAGACCUUAACCUGCUAACUAGAUUCGAUCAUCUUAUGGUCGUUAUCUUCAUAAGAGGGAGAGAAGAACAUAAAUACAUGGAAGUUUGAGGCAAUAACAGGUCAGUGAUGCCCUUAUAUGUCCUGGGCUGCACGCGUGCUACACUGAUGCAUACAACAAGUGCCUAGCUAGACAUAGUAUGGCAAUCUGGAAUAUGCAUCGUGAUGGGGAUAGAUCUUUGCAAUUAUAGAUCUUGAACGAGGAAUUCUUAGUAAGUGCAAGUCAUCAUCUGCAUGAAAAUGUCCCUGCCCUUGUACACACCGCCCGUCGCUCCACCGAUA